AUUGAACGCUGGCGGCAUGCCUUACACAUGCAAGUCGAACGGCAGCACGGGAGCAAUCCUGGUGGCGAGUGGCGAACGGGUGAGUAAUAUAUCGGAACGUGCCCGGUCGUGGGGGAUAACGUAGCGAAAGCUACGCUAAUACCGCAUACGAUCUACGGAUGAAAGCGGGGGAUCGCAAGACCUCGCGCGAUUGGAGCGACCGAUAUCAGAUUAGGUAGUUGGUGAGGUAAAGGCUCACCAAGCCGACGAUCUGUAGCUGGUCUGAGAGGACGACCAGCCACACUGGGACUGAGACACGGCCCAGACUCCUACGGGAGGCAGCAGUGGGGAAUUUGGACAAUGGCGCAAGCCUGAUCCAGCAAUGCCGCGUGCAGGAUGAAGGCCUCGGUUGUAACUAGCUUUGUUACGGAACGAACGGUAGAGCGUC
rnacentral:rRNA from 1 species